CCUACGGGAGGCAGCAGUGAGGAAUAUUGGUCAAUGGACGCAAGUCUGAACCAGCCACGUCGCGUGAAGGAAGACGGCCCUACGGGUUGUAAACUUCUUUUGUAAGGGAAUAAAGUGAUUCACGUGUGUUUCAUUGCAUGUACCUUACGAAUAAGGAUCGGCUAACUCCGUGCCAGCAGCCGCGGUAAUA
rnacentral:rRNA from 1 species